AAUAAUAAUAAUAAAUUGUGAUGUGACAAGAAAUCUGUCUCUCUUCCCUCACACAUCGCACAGCACAGGCCCAACUUCUCCGUUCCGUUGUGUUGUGUCGUGCUGUAUUGUGCUGUGUCUUCUUUCUUCUUCUUCUUCCCUUUUUUCAUUCUCUCACUACCACCCUAACAACAACCCUUUUUUCAAAUCAAUUCUGCAUUUUCCAUUCGUUUCUUCCCGAAUCAACAACGCUAAUGCUUCUUCAUCAUCGUCAUCAUCCUCUGAUAUCAACAACCUAGGGUUUCUCUCCGUGGGAUUUUGGGGUUAA